GAGGCACACUGGUAAUUGUUUCUAUAAAAGAUGAUUGAUAGAUUAUUUUAUUUCUUUGAUUCUGUGGUGAUAUUUUUCAAAAUGACUGCUUUGUAUUGGAUAUAAUCUGUCUUGAAAUGACUGCCUUUACUGGAUAUAAUCUUGCCCUUUCACUUUACAUAACAGAUGGUGGUUACAUUAGAAAAGGUUUUGGUUUUAUUCAU
rnacentral:lncRNA from 1 species